UCGCCCUAUAAGGAAAUUCCCCGCCUCCCAGCCCAUCAUGCCUUGCUGCUGACUUCCGGUUCUCCAGCGGUAUAAAGCGGCGGCUCCGGGCCAAAUUUCAGGAGAAGCGUUGGUGCGAGCCUCUUGGCUCUUCUGACCUGGGAUCGUUUUCCCUGGAAUAAAUGGUGUCAGACUCGUUACUAAAUAGUCUGACAACAAGAGGGGACGAGCCCAUGGCUGCCGAAGGUUCCAGGUCAGCCCCCAGAGCCCGGUGAAGCCACUCUACCUUCCGCUCGCUCUUCGCGUCAUUAUUUCCAAACUUCAAGGACAGAGAUCCUCUAGGAUUCUACCCAGUAUUGAGCUUGCAUUCCUGUUGUUUCAUGAGGACAAUGCAGAGGAACUCAUGUGUAUGCUGUGUAUGCAGUGGUUUGGGGUCACAAGUGAGGAAUACUGAGCCUGCAGAAGCCACUGUAUUAAUACAAGAAGGGAAUAGCAGUACAGAAGAGCAGAACAUUUCAGAAUUGAACUAGUGUUACUCCAUCCUCUAUCUCCAAGAUGGCUUAUAUAGAGUGCCAGUCACAACUACACAAUUGCAAAUUUCAGGUAGAUCUCUCUAGAAAGUUUAGUGCACAUAGUCAGUAACGUGAAGCAUUAUUGAGUCCCCGUUUCCAGUACCAAGCCCUGAGAGAUGGUCAAAGCUAGAGGCAAAGUAUGGCUGGACUCCACAUAUCUCUUCUAUGGACGAAGAGAAAAAUGGCAGAAAUUAUAGGAAAAAGUGGAAUGAAAAGUCUAUAAGAAUUUCAACUCAAUAUUUAAGAAUCCCAUACAUAAAAGUAUGAUAGUUUAAUAUGGAAGGGUAUCAUAUGUAUUUUACUCCAUAAUCCUCAAGAACGAAAUUACUUAUUAUCGACAGUAAGGACAAGUAGAGAAUAAAUCCAUAAAAAUCAUCAAGAAUAAAAGGAGUUAUCAGUGUU